GAUCCCCCUCAGCACUGGUGUAGUGUAUUCGUAUUCUAUACCGGUAGCUGGUUGCUUUGGCCUUGACUGCCUCUGGUUGUCUUUGCUUAAAUUCUACAACACGUACGUGCAUAGAUCUAGAAAAGUCUUAGCCCGUUCUGAAGACGGCGUUGACAUUCUCAUCUAUCUCUGGUAGCUUGUCUCUGGAGUUUUUCUGAGUUUGUGAUCAGCUGUGUUGAAGGACUACUGAGUCUGUCUCUAAGUCUAGCUUGCGGUUAGUAUAGUAUAUUGUACUAGCUGCUUGCUAUCCAAUUCCGGAUCCUCAGAUCAAGCAAGAUGACCCGCCGAAUUUAAGCAUAUCAAUAAGCGGAGGA
rnacentral:rRNA from 1 species